rnacentral:tRNA from 1 species
ACCUGGCUGGCUCAGUCGGUAGAGCAUGGGACUCCUGAUCUUGGGGUCGCGAUUUCGAGCCCCACGUCGGGUG